GUGCCAGCCGCCGCGGUAAUACGUAGGGUACGAGCGUUGUCCGGAAUUAUUGGGCGUAAAGAGCUCGUAGGUGGUUGGUCACGUCUGCUGUGGAAACGCAACGCUUAACGUUGCGCGUGCAGUGGGUACGGGCUGACUAGAGUGCAGUAGGGGAGUCUGGAAUUCCUGGUGUAGCGGUGAAAUGCGCAGAUAUCAGGAGGAACACCGGUGGCGAAGGCGGGACUCUGGGCUGUAACUGACACUGAGGAGCGAAAGCAUGGGGAGCGAAC
rnacentral:rRNA from 1 species